rnacentral:rRNA from 1 species
UUGAACUGAAGAGUUUGAUCCUGGCUCAGAUUAAACGCUGGCGGCAUGCCUUACACAUGCAAGUCGAACGGCAGCACGGGGGCAACCCUGGUGGCGAGUGGCGGACGGGUGAGUAAUACAUCGGAACGUGCCCUGGAGUGGGGGAUAACGUAGCGAAAGUUACGCUAAUACCGCAUAUUCUGUGAGCAGGAAAGCAGGGGAUCGCAAGACCUUGCGCUCUGCGAGCGGCCGAUGUCGGAUUAGCUAG